CAGUGAUAAUAAAAAUACAUCAUGCCUGAGUCUGUAAACAGGAUGUGAACAGAGGCCAGAGAUGCUUAAGAUGGACGCAAAGAGGAGAAAAUACUGUUUUGUCAAAAAAGCCAGUAUUGUGCACUUUCAAGGCAUCACGAGUUCACAUUUCACUGCAGAAGCCGACAAGCGCCCAAGUCCAUUACAGCAAAUCAACGCGCUGAAUUCAGGGCAUAAAUGGAAAAUAAAAGCUGAAACUUUUUCACGGAACCUUGCAAAAGCAGCACGCUACAAAGGAAGUUUGAUUGACAGGUGAUCUGUCCAAUCAUAACACCAAAUCUGCAGUAUUUGUCUGAAAAACAAACCAGACUGGAGAGUACAUAAAUGUUGGUGGACUUGAACUUGAAAAAUGGUGUGUAUUGACAAGUUUCUGCGGUUGAAACAAGACUUCUUUGAUGUUCAUUCAUGUUGUAGUGGACAGCACAUUCCAGGGCCCAGUUUAUGUCUUCCCAAAAGACACUCCUUGUUCUGAGUCUGAGUCCCGAAAGGGAGAGACACUAACAUAAACACUGCAAUGGAAAAGACGUUAACAGAUACAUUGUUCUGAUUCUCAGUCCUGCGAAGGAAGGGACAGGAACAGAUAAACCACUUCUGAGUCUCCGGCCUGUGAAGGUGAGACUGCAACAGAUCAACCUCCGUUCUGAGUCUCUGGCCCCUGAGGGAAGAGGCAAUGACAGAUACCAAGUCCUUAUUCUCCAGCUUUGAGGCAACAACAGAUACGACCAUGUUCUGAGCCUCCAGCCUGCGAGGAAAGACUUCAGAGUCUUCAUACAGUGAGACAACAACAGACGCAGCACGUCCUGAGUCUCUAUCCUAGAGAGACAAAGCGGAUUGCCCAACUUCUGGGUCUUUAGCCUAGAGAGGCAGAAGACACACAGACAUUAGCAAAAAGGUUAAGCUCCGGCGAGCAAUCCUUCACGCCAAGGUACCUUUGAUUGCAUGUUCCAGGCUAAGGACCUUCUGCACCUACUCCCGGGCCACAUCUGCGUGUUCCAGAUUUUAGGACCCUUUGGUGCUCCAGGAGAUCAGCAUCCUCCAGCGUUUCGUGUUCAAGGCUGUCAAAACGGAUUCCUGCUCCUUUCACCACUGCAUUGUUACCAGCACCGCCACCGGACUACUCACUCAGCCACAGAGAACGUAACUAUCACCUAUCCAAACCUCUUCCAGAGACCUUGGCAUUGCUGUGUAUUAUCAGUAUCUGUUAAUCCUUCCAGAUAACGUAGCUCUGACAAAGCAAC